rnacentral:rRNA from 1 species
GACGGAAGGUGCAAGCGUUGCUCGGAAUUAUUGGGCGUAAAGGGCGCGUAGGCGGCCUUUCAAGUGACGGGUGAAAUCCCUCGGCUUAACCGAGGAACUGCCUGUCAGACUGGAAGGCUUGAGACCGGGAGAGGUGAGUGGAAUUCCCAGUGUAGCGGUGAAAUGCGUAGAUAUUGGGAGGAACACCAGUGGCGAAGGCGGGUCUCUGGGCCGAUACUGACGCUGAGGAGCGAAAGCGUGGGGAGCGAACAGG